GCUUUUAAAGGAAAACAGCUCUUCCCCUGGUCUUAGGCUCCAGUAUCUCUUGGUGCAAAUCCAAGUAAAAGCU
rnacentral:tRNA from 9 species